rnacentral:rRNA from 1 species
AACGAACGCUGGCGGCAUGCCUCACACAUGCAAGUCGAACGAGACCUUCGGGUCUAGUGGCGCACGGGUGCGUAACGCGUGGGAACCUGCCCUUAGGUUCGGAAUAACUCCCCGAAAGGGGUGCUAAUACCGGAUAAUGUCUUCGGACCAAAGAUUUAUCGCCUUUGGAUGGGCCCGCGUUGGAUUAGCUAGUUGGUAGGGUAAAAGCCUACCAAGGCGACGAUCCAUAGCUGGUCUGAGAGGAUGAUCAGCCACACUGGGACUGAGACACGGCCCAGACUCCUACGGGAGGCAGCAGUGGGGAAUAUUGGACAAUGGGCGAAAGCCUGAUCCAGCAAUGCCGCGUGAGUGAUGAAGGCCUUAGGGUUGUAAAGCUCUUUUACCCGGGAUGAUAAUGACAGUACCGGGAGAAUAAGCUCCGGCUAACUCCGUG